CACAAUGACCGUACCGCAGGGCGGGUCGGGCGCUAUUAUAGUCGCACUCUUGUUUUAUUUGCAGUGUAGAAUCCUUUACAUCGCCGUUCAAUUACUGCACCGAUGCAUGCUCGGCUUACAGGGAUACGACUGCGAUGAGCGAACAUACACACUAUAUGUACCUAUAACUGAAUACAUGUGAACAAUGUUGUGAAGUGAAUGUGAAUUGUGAACAUAGUUCGAAGAGCCGAUGGACAUUGGGGUCCCAAGACGCUGGAAUGCGACCCGCACCCCGCAGGAGUUCGCUGGAUGCAGGCGCCUCAGGAUCAAGAUGUUUGGAAGUCCCUACAAAAGUCCUAUGUCCUGCAGUGGACGUUCAUCGGCUGAUACGAUGAUGAUGAUGAUGAAUGUUGUGAAAUGGUGAUAACAAAAAAAACUCUGGUGAACAUUGUUGUACACUUCUAAAUUUUUUUGUGGCGUCUGACCACAAUAUGACGUCGUAAGAUGAUGAUGUUGGCGGACGGGUCAACACAAAAUGGUGACGGGGAAGGAACAUCCGAAUCUUAAUUAGACUCUGUAGUGACCGUCAGAGCGGAUUAAGAGUUCGUUUCAUCAGAGAGUUGUUUUCUGCAUGAGAAGGUACGGCGGCGCCUGCGCAUACCUGCCCGGCGCCUUUUAAGGUGCAGCCUUAUCGAUCGAAUUUGGAUCGUGUUACGUGUCGGGAUUUUUCCAAUUGAACGUAAUGAUGAACAUUGAAUUCCGAAUGUGUUUCUUGACGUAAAAAGUGAUAAAGAAUCAUUAAAUGACGAAGGUCCACACAAUAAAAAUCGAAGUGAAUAUGAUAUAAAACUUAUAUGAUUUAUUUUAUCACUCGAUUCAAUGAGUCACUCUGCUAAAUAAUUUAAUAAAUUUGAUGUUACGCAUACUUAUGUUAUUAAAGAAAUUUCAUUCAAUUAGC